rfam:Erinaceus europaeus unplaced genomic scaffold scaffold00263, whole genome shotgun sequence
GUGCUCACUUUUACAGCACAGAUACUAAAAUUGGAGUGAUGCAGCAAUUAACAUGGCCCUGCGCAAGGAUGACACGCAAAUUCGUGAAGUGUUUCGUAUUUUU